rnacentral:rRNA from 1 species
UACGUAGGCAGCAAGCGUUGUUCGGAAUUACUGGGGCGUAAAGAGUGUGUAGGCGGUGCUCUAAGUUCGGUGUGAAAUCUCCUGCUCACUGGGAGGGUGCGCCGGAAACUGGGGUGCUGGAGCGCGGGAGAGGUAAGCGGAAUUCCUGGUGUAGCGGUGAAAUGCGUAGAGAUCAGGAGGAACACCUGUGGUGUAGACAGCUUACUGGACGGGUGACUGACGGCUGAGGCACGAAAGCGUGGGUAGCAAACA